rnacentral:lncRNA from 1 species
CCUCUCCCAGUCCCCUCCUGUCUCUGUCACUGCUCGGGGCUCCCUGAGUGUGUUUAACCAAUGGGUAGAUGCUCGUUGGUGUUGGUUUCUGUGGUGUGAAAUGUGAGUAAUUAUAUUCACUUGCCUCGUGAUACUUCUCAAUAUUUAUAGCUGCAAACUACUUUGCAGUCAUUUUUAUUAAUAGUUACCAGAUGUGUCGUAAGGAUUAAUGAACUUAUGAUCUGAAAUGUUUUGAGCUCCUGAAAUAGAGGCGAUGCCUGCAAAGGGGAUGUGAAAGAGCAUUAAAAUGCACACAAUACGCAUUUGGAAACGUGAGCUGUUAUGUGUGAAGUAGCACAGUUAAGGUCCCGGCAUUCCCUGCGGGUAUAUCUGGGAGCCCUAAAAGAUGGCUGCAUUCAUCACGGGCAUCGCGCCUGGGCUUGUGCACACACGUGCACACACUCCCAUUUGUGCCAGUAACCCUGGCGCCCCUUCGCGUCGUCUUUACUCUGCCUAGCCUCCACAGCCACCUGUCUCUUUCAUAUCUCUGAACUUGCAUUUCUAUUUGUUUCCUCUUACUGUCCAAAUUCAAACUCUUACAAGUUCUCUUCAGAAUCCCUGAAGUUCUUAAUUGAUCUCACUGCGUUUAGUAUCUCUCUCUCCUAAGGGUUCGCUGUUGAGAGCACAGAUCUUACCAGAUCCUCAUUCUGCAGCCCAUACCUGCUCUGUUGCCUAUGAAAUCUCUCCAGGAGCUCACCAGGCAGGCCAGGGAGUCUCUCCCUAAAACCUGCGGUGUGGGGGGGGUGCUUUUUGAGGGUAGAGCUCCAUGUAGACGGAACCCGACACGGGACACUUCUGUCUCCUGCCUGUCGUGUGGCUUAGCCGCGUCAAUAUGCUGUCACCUGCUGCAGGUACCUAUUUGUGAUCCUCCUCUGAACUCUCUCUGCUUUCAAAAUGUCCAUUCCAAAGCCAGUUGUGGUGGUGCAUGCCUGUAAUCCCAGUGCUCUGGAGGCUGAGGCAGGAGGAUCUCGAGUUUGAGGCCAGCCUGGGUUACACAGUGAGUUCAAGACUAGCCCAAACUAUAUAGUGAGACCCUGUCUCAAAAAAUCAAAACCAAAGAAAAAGAAACAUCCAUUGCAGUGUCCCUGCCCUUCCUCUGCUUUAGUCACUUGCUUACGUGUCCUUCCCCGUGGCUAGACAGCUCCUUGAGAGCAGAGUGCAUGCCUGGCUGGUCUCUGUGUCGAACAGGGCUCCAGGCCUGGGCCAAGUGAGGCCCCGAGAAGUCUGUGCCAAGCAGGAUUUGUACACUGGGAGUUGGAACCAGGCUGCAGUCAAUCUGGCCCUGAAAUUCAUUUUGGGAAAUACUUACUUUUCUCUCAUUGCUGAGACAAAAUAUACGACCCCCAGAGGUGAAGGAGGAAAUGUUUAUUUGGCUCACAGUUCAUGGAGGUUUCAGUCCAAGGCUUGCUCCAAGGCAGGGUGGCAGAGGGGCAGCAAUUCAUGCAGGAAGGCAGCAAAAGCAACAAGGGACCUUAACAGUGUCUUUCUGUCCCUUUUAUUCAGACUACUUAGGGCGGGUAGCACUCAGUCUUAAUCCUAGUGCCCUCGGGCCUUGCCCCACAGUAAAUCAGUCACACACUCAGCCACUUCCAGAGUAGCCUGUGACCACGUGAGGCUCUGGGGGCUCUAGACACAGCCCUAACACAUGUGCCGGACCUUGCAGUCACACAGAGUCAUAAGGAAAAGGGAAGGAUGAUGUCCUUCUAGAGCAGAUCCCAUCCUGAGUGGCCACUCUCCUGUCCCUGGUGGGGUUUCCCCGUGUCAUGCACUUCGCGAGUAGGGAUGCUUAUCCCCUAGUCAUGUCCAGGUUAAGUCAGAUGUAACUGACGUCUGAGCGUGAGGAACUCUCUCCUAUCUUUAUGAAGACAUGUCCUCCGAGUAGCUUCCCGCGUGGAGGAAGAACAGAGACAGCAGCCUCUGCUGGGGCCCAGUGAGGCAGUCCGGGUCCUGGGCAGGAGGACAAGAACGAAGACCACCGCCUGGGCUGAGCGCUGUCUGGACAGUGGCCCCCGUGUGGGAGCCUCAGGGCCCAGUGUACCCAGGAAGCUGCAGCAGGGAACCUUCGGGAUGUGACAUCUCUGGUGGGGCAGCGGCCACCCUGCCUCUCCUAUGGGCCCAAAGGAAAGAGGAGCCCUUCCUGUGCCCACCGUGCCAGGACAGAUCCCUUGUUCUUCUGGGCAUGCAGAGCUGGACAAGGCUGGCUGGGAGGGACCGGCACAGAAGUGGCCUCCACUGUCUUCCCGAGACCCUCGCACCUGUGUACUAGCUUCUGUGUGGCCUGGCCUGGCCUGGCCGGACCCAUUGGCUGGAAAGUUUCUGGUCCCUUCCCCUUCUGAUGUCCUUCCCUUAUCUUGCCUCUCAUCAUUUUUGUCUUUUUCUUUUAAUCUUCCUUGAAUCAUGUCCAUAACUCCGUAAGUCAUGAAGUCCUUUCUUAUGACGAUGUUUACACCCAUAACUUGGGCUGUCCCACCUCGAGGCUGCUCUGUUGCUGAUUAGUCUCCUUGGGCUUUGCUUCUCCAGCCAGCUUGCAUUCCUCUGCCAGCCCAGCUCACUUUCAGCUCUCUUCUGCCAUCUCUGCUUAGGAAUCUGGUGAACCCUCUCCGCUACCAGGUUGGGCUAGUUUCAGGCCCAAGGCCGCCUCUGUGCCUGGUAGUUGGGCUGGACAGCCUUUGUGUGUUCUGUUUCCUGUGGUAACACACGGCCACCACCAGCCUGGCGUCUUUCUGGAUCUUUCUGCCUGCACCACGCAAGCCCUCGAUGGGCCAUGCAUUGCGGCUAGAGAGAGGGAACUGAGUGUGCACACCCGCGUGUGCCAGUGGCCUGAGUGUGCAUUUCCUCUCCCUGGCCGGGUUCCUUGUCCCCUUGUGGCCUAGGUGGCAGGGCUGCUGGAGUCCCUGAGGGUCCCUCCCACGCCUCUGUCUGGUGGACUCCUGCCUGCUGUCCUGGUCUCCGAUCCCUGACCAGCACACUUGUCUCCUCAGCCCGUGCCCCGCAUCCUGGUACAGGCUCCUUUCCCGGACACCCAGGUGGCCAGGACGGAGGAGGUGAGUCCCCAGGGCUGGGGCUGCCCCCUCACAGUGGUGGCCCCGGUGCCGAAUUGCUGUCUACACCUGUGCUUUUUUUCCUUCACACUCCCGUUUGAUGAUUAACUACAAUAUAGG